UACGUAGGGGGCAAGCGUUGUCCGGAUUUAUUGGGCGUAAAGAGCGUGUAGGCGGCCAGACAGGUCCGUUGUGAAAACUCGAGGCUCAACCUCGAGACGUCGAUGGAAACCGUCGGGCUAGAGUCCGGAAGAGGAGAGUGGAAUUCCUGGUGUAGCGGUGAAUUCGCAGAUAUCAGGAGGAACACCCGUGGCGAAAGCGGCUCUCUGGGACGGUACUGACGCUGAGACGCGAAAGCGUGGGGAGCGAACAGG
rnacentral:rRNA from 1 species